CUCACCCCAGUUCACCCAGGCACCACUGCUCCAAUUGUACAGAAUCCCUGAAGUUCAGAAAGCCUCACCCAGGGCCCCACAUGCUCUGUCCACGCUCAAGCUGGCCUGAGAGCCCCCGAGACUGAACUGAGAGCCCACAGAGGGAAGCUGCUGAAUGUUAGAAGGUUUGGACAUCUGGCUACCCAAGAAGGCAUGGACAGAGGUUAACAGCUUUCAGCCUCCAUAAUUUGAAGAACUGUUGAAUAAAUGAGGAAGGGAAAACUGAAGACACAAUCCACCAGAAAUCAAAAGAGCUCUCCAACUACAAAAGCAAGCAUGAGCUCAACCUUGGAACCU